rnacentral:rRNA from 1 species
CUUGACAAAAUAUAAGAGGUCCAGCCUGCCCAGUGACAAAGUUAAACGGCCGCGGUACCCUAACCGUGCGAAGGUAGCGCAAUCACUUGUUCUUUAAAUGAGGACUAGUAUGAAUGGCAUCACGAGGGUUGCACUGUCUCCCCUUUUUAAUCAAUGAAACUGACCCCCCCGUGAAGAGGCGGGGAUAUAGCUAUAAGACGAGAAGACCCCAUGGAGCUUUAAACUCAGUAUCAACCGCCUAACAAUACAUCAUUCCAAUUUGGCGAAUCUGAUUACUAGUUUUCGGUUGGGGUGACCGCGGAGUAAAACAAAACCUCCACGAUGAAAGGACCUACACUCCUAAUCAUAGAGCCACAGCUCAAAGAAUCAAAAAACUGACAUAAAUUGAUCCAAUUAAUUUGAUCAACGAACCA